CCUACGGGAGGCAGCAGUGGGGAAUUUUGGACAAUGGGCGCAAGCCUGAUCCAGCAAUGCCGCGUGAGUGAAGAAGGCCUUCGGGUUGUAAAGCUCUUUUGUCAGGGAAGAAACGGCCGAGGCUAAUACCUUUGGCUAAUGACGGUACCUGAAGAAUAAGCACCGGCUAACUACGUGCCAGCAGCCGCGGUAAUACGUAGGGUGCAAGCGUUAAUCGGAAUUACUGGGCGUAAAGCGUGCGCAGGCGGUUUUGUAAGUCUGUCGUGAAAUCCCCGGGCUCAACCUGGGAAUUGCGAUGGAGACUGCAAGGCUAGAAUCUGGCAGAGGGGGGUAGAAUUCCACGUGUAGCAGUGAAAUGCGUAGAGAUGUGGAGGAACACCGAUGGCGAAGGCAGCCCCCUGGGUCAAGAUUGACGCUCAUGCACGAAAGCGUGGGGAGCAAACAGGAUUAGAUACCCUGGUAGUCCACGCCCUAAACGAUGUCUACUAGUUGUCGGGUCUUAAUUGACUUGGUAACGCAGCUAACGCGUGAAGUAGACCGCCUGGGGAAUACGGUCGCAAGAUUAAAACUCAAAUGAAAUUGACCGGNGNGAGAGNGACGACGACGACGACGAGGAGGAGG
rnacentral:rRNA from 1 species